rnacentral:lncRNA from 1 species
UUCUUUGGCUAUAUUUCCAAAGUGGUAUUCUGGGACUUCUGUGCAUUAAUCCUGUAACAAUAACAGGAUUUGCGCUCUUCACUCCCCUGGUGUGGCUUUGAAAAUCUAGCCUAAAGCAGCUAAUGUUGCUGUUUAAAUCAUCCUCUCACUAUCCUUAGGGAAAUGUGGAGGUUAAAAAAAUGACAACCCAACUGCUCAAAUGACCUAUACCUGGGAGAAUAAGAGAAACAACGUAUUUCUUCUCAGGAACUGGACUGAUAUUUCCAAGGUGGACAUAUGAUGUUUCCCAGUGGCAAGAGAGAUGGUGCGGUCGCUGAAUAACUGGAAUUCAACUGAGGUGCAGGAAUUCAGUCAUGCAGCUUGAAGAAUGAUCUUAAGGGUGGUACGUUACACUCAACCUUCAAUGAUUUCAGAGACUUGGAGAAAGGGGAACAGGACCUAUAUUUGAACCAUGAUGUCAUGCAGUUAUGUACAGCACAGGCACAUGCAUGGCUGGGAAGUGUCUAUGGGUUGAUUCCUUUGAGAAUUAUAUGGAGCUGACACGGCCGAAACCCACAAUGACCCAGACGAGGACAGAAGUUUGUCCUGAAAGAGUGGCUUCCACCCCUAUGUACAAAACAGAAACAGGACGUGUUGGUACAAGCAAAUGAAAAAAUCCAGGGCCUAACACACUACGUCUAUGCCUGGACAUGACCGCUUCUAAAAGCACUGUGAAAACCGUUCCAAAAGAUACUCGAGACGUAAGCAGACCAUUGCCGGGCCAGC